rnacentral:rRNA from 1 species
AAGACCUUGCGCUUUUGGAGCGGCCGAMGCCUGAUUAGCUUGUUGGUAAGGUAAAAGCUUACCAAGGCUUCGAUCAGUAGCUGGUCUGAGAGGACGACCAGCCACACUGGGACUGAGACACGGCCCAGACUCCUACAGGAGGCAGCAGUGGGGAAUUUUGGACAAUGGGGGCAACCCUGAUCCAGCCAUGCCGCGUGAGUGAAGAAGGCCUUCGGGUUGUAAAGCUCUUUCAGCCGGAACGAAACGGUUACGGUUAAUACCCGUGAUUACUGACGGUACCGGAAGAAGAAGCACCGGCUAACUACGUGCCAGCAGCCGCGGUAAUACGUAGGGUGCGAGCGUUAAUCGGAAUUACUGGGCGUAAAGCGUGCGCAGGUGGUUUUGUAAGUCAGAUGUGAAAGCCCCGGGCUCAACCUGGGAACU